AUUCAGUUGACGAGUCUCAAAUCAGACAUAACGCGCGUCCUGGAU
rnacentral:hammerhead_ribozyme from 1 species